rnacentral:sRNA from 1 species
AUAUGGAAUGGUGAGGUGUCACCCAACCUCUUUGAAGAAAUUGACAAGGAUGGCAACGGAGAAGUCCUCCUGGAAGAGGUAACUAACUGGCUUCUGUAGGAAGGUGGGACCGAAGAGCUCAGGGAGCCUGGUGAGGCCGCAGGGCUGGUUCUGAAGUUCUCAGAGUACAUUCAUGCCCAGGUGGCAUCUGGCAAAGGGAAACUCGCCCCUGGCUUUGAUGCUGAGCUGAUUGUGAAGAAUAUGUUCACCAACCAGGACCGGAAUGGAGAUGGGAAGGUCAUAGCUGAGGAAUUUAAACUCAAAGACCAGGAAGCCAAACACGAUGAACUCUAAACGAACCAGAUGGUGCCAGGGAGUACGUGACACCAAGCCACCUGUCGUGGCAGAACGUGCAGUGAGGGUGCAAGGGUCUUUCAGAAGUCACAUCAUUAGCCAGUAGUAGGUGGGUCACAUAGUACCUGGUGUACACAUCGGGGUGGGUUGAUAUAUAGGGUGAGAAGUUUAGGCUGAUCGCCAGUGAUAGUAAAUAAAAUCUGUGCAGAGGGCCUUAGCACGGGAUGUGUCCAGUAUGGAAAAGGCUGUACU